CGAGAAAGCCCGCAAGGGUGAGUACAGCGGCGCACGGGUGCGUAACACGUGGGUAAUCUGCCCUGGAGCCCGGAAUAACCUCCCGAAAGGGAAGCUAAUGCCGGAUGAGCCCACGGGGUCCUUGGACCCUGAGGGAAAAGGUGGCCUCUGCAUGCAAGCUAUCACUUCAGGAUGAACCCGCGGCCCAUCAGCUCGUUGGCGGGGUAACGGCCCACCAAGGCUACGACGGGUAGCUGGUCUGAGAGGACGAUCAGCCACACUGGAACUGAGACACGGUCCAGACUCCUACGGGAGGCAGCAGUGGGGAAUCUUGCGCAAUGGGCGAAAGCCUGACGCAGCAACGCCGCGUGUGUGAUGAAGGUCUUCGGAUCGUAAAGCACUGUCGCGAGGGACG
rnacentral:rRNA from 1 species